rnacentral:tRNA from 1 species
GGGCAGGUGGCCGAGUGGACAAUGGCAGCAGACUGUAAAUCUGCCGGCGUUAUGCCUUCGGAGGUUCGAAUCCUUCCCUGCCCA